rnacentral:rRNA from 1 species
GAAGCGAACGCGGUGAACUGAAACAUCUAAGUAACCGCAGGAAAAGAAAUCAACCGAGAUUCCCAAAGUAGUGGCGAGCGAAAUGGGAUGAGCCUUGUACUCUUUAUUCGUAUUGUUAGCCGAACGCUCUGGAAAGUGCGGCCAUAGCAGGUGAUAGCCCUGUAGGCGAAAACAGUAUGAAAGAACUAGGUGUACGACAAGUAGGGCGGGACACGUGAAAUCCUGUCUGAAGAUGGGGGGACCAUCCUCCAAGGCUAAAUACUCGUGAUCGACCGAUAGUGAACCAGUACCGUGAGGGAAAGGCGAAAAGAACCCCGGGAGGGGAGUGAAAUAGAUCCUGAAACCGCAUGCAUACAAACAGUCGGAGCCUCGUAAGGGGUGACGGCGUACCUUUUGUAUAAUGGGUCAGCGACUUACGUUCAGUAGCAAGCUUAACCGUAUAGGGCAGGCGUAGCGAAAGCGAGUCCGAAUAGGGCGUUCAGUUGCUGGGCGUAGACCCGAAACCAGGUGAUCUAUCCAUGGCCAGGAUGAAGGUGCGGUAACACGUACUGGAGGUCCGAACCCACUAACGUUGAAAAGUUAGGGGAUGAGCUGUGGAUAGGGGUGAAAGGCUAAACAAACCUGGAAAUAGCUGGUUCUCUCCGAAAACUAUUUAGGUAGUGCCUCGUGUCUCACCUUCGGGGGUAGAGCACUGUCAUGGUUGGGGGGUCUAUUGCAGAUUACCCCGCCAUAGCAAACUCCGAAUACCGAAGAGUGCAAUCACGGGAGACAGACAUCGGGUGCUAACGUCCGGUGUCAAGAGGGAAACAACCCAGACCGCCAGCUAAGGUCCCCAAAUAUGGCUAAGUGGGAAACGAAGUGGGAAGGCUAAAACAGUCAGGAGGUUGGCUUAGAAGCAGCCACCCUUUAAAGAAAGCGUAAUAGCUCACUGAUCGAGUCGUCCUGCGCGGAAGAUGUAACGGGGCUAAGCCAUAUACCGAAGCUGCGGAUGCGUGCUUGCACGCAUGGUAGGAGAGCGUUCCGUAAGCCUGCGAAGGUGCCUUGUAAAGGGUGCUGGAGGUAUCGGAAGUGCGAAUGCUGACAUGAGUAGCGAUAAAGGGGGUGAAAGGCCCCCUCGCCGUAAGCCCAAGGUUUCCUACGCAACGUUCAUCGGCGUAGGGUGAGUCGGCCCCUAAGGCGAGGCAGAAAUGCGUAGCUGAUGGGAAGCAGGUCAAUAUUCCUGCACCGUCGUUAGAUGCGAUGGGGGGACGGAUCGCGGAAGGUUGUCCGGGUGUUGGACGUCCCGGUCGCUGCAUUGGAGAAGGCGCUUAGGCAAAUCCGGGCGCGGAAUUCAAGGGUGUGGCGCGAGCGACUUCGGUCGCGAAGCAAUUGGAAGUGGUUCCAAGAAAAGCCUCUAAGCUUCAGUCUAACGAUGACCGUACCGCAAACCGACACAGGUGGGCGAGAUGAGUAUUCUAAGGCGCUUGAGAGAACUCGGGAGAAGGAACUCGGCAAAUUGGUACCGUAACUUCGGGAUAAGGUACGCCCUUGUAGCUUGACCAGCCUGCGCUGGAAGGGUGAAGGGGUUGCAAUAAACUGGUGGCUGCGACUGUUUAAUAAAAACACAGCACUCUGCAAACACGAAAGUGGACGUAUAGGGUGUGACGCCUGCCCGGUGCCGGAAGAUUAAAUGAUGGGGUGCAAGCUCUUGAUUGAAGUCCCGGUAAACGGCGGCCGUAACUAUAACGGUCCUAAGGUAGCGAAAUUCCUUGUCGGGUAAGUUCCGACCUGCACGAAUGGCGUAACGAUGGCCACACUGUCUCCUCCCGAGACUCAGCGAAGUUGAAGUGUUUGUGAUGAUGCAAUCUACCCGCGGCUAGACGGAGAGACCCCAUGAACCUUUACUGUAGCUUUGCAUUGGACUUUGAACCGAUCUGUGUAGGAUAGGUGGGAGGCUAUGAAACCGGAACGCUAGUUUCGGUGGAGCCGUCCUUGAAAUACCACCCUGGUUUGUUUGAGGUUCUAACCUUGGUCCGUGAUCCGGAUCGGGGACAGUGCAUGGUAGGCAGUUUGACUGGGGCGGUCUCCUCCCAAAGGGUAACGGAGGAGUACGAAGGUACGCUAGGUACGGUCGGAAAUCGUGCUGAUAGUGCAAUGGCAUAAGCGUGCUUAACUGCGAGACCGACAAGUCGAGCAGGUGCGAAAGCAGGUCAUAGUGAUCCGGUGGUUCUGUAUGGAAGGGCCAUCGCUCAACGGAUAAAAGGUACUCUGGGGAUAACAGGCUGAUACCGCCCAAGAGUUCAUAUCGACGGCGGUGUUUGGCACCUCGAUGUCGGCUCAUCUCAUCCUGGGGCUGUAGCCGGUCCCAAGGGUAUGGCUGUUCGCCAUUUAAAGAGGUACGUGAGCUGGGUUUAAAACGUCGUGAGACAGUUUGGUCCCUAUCUGCCGUGGGCGUUGGAUAUUUGAAGGGGGCUGCUCCUAGUACGAGAGGACCGGAGUGGACGAACCUCUGGUGUACCGGUUGUGACGCCAGUCGCAUCGCCGGGUAGCUAUGUUCGGAAGAGAUAACCGCUGAAAGCAUCUAAGCGGGAAACUCGCCUUAAGAUGAGAUAUCCCUGGAGGCUUGACCUCCUUGAAGGGUCGUUCGAGACCAGGACGUUGAUAGGUCGGGUGUGUAAGCGCAGUAAUGCGUUCAGCUAACCGAUACUAAUUGCCCGUAAGGCUUGAUCCU